UUUCACAGAGAUUAAGGCUAGCCUGGUGGUCUAUAAUAGCUAGAAUUUUAUGAAAUGUAAGGCGUCAAUCAUUCGCUCCAUAUGAUGUUAGGUACACGUUCCACGGGUCAUAUCAUAGCGUAUG